CCUACGGGAGGCUGCAGUGGGGAAUAUUGGACAAUGGGAGCAACCCUGAUCCAGCCAUGCCGCGUGUGUGAAGAAGGCCCUCGGGUUGUAAAGCACUUUCAGUGAGGAAGAACGCCUGGUGGUUAAUACCCAUCAGGAAAGACAUCACUCACAGAAGAAGCACCGGCUAACUCCGUGCCAGCAGCCGCGGUAAUACGGAGGGUGCGAGCGUUAAUCGGAAUUACUGGGCGUAAAGCGCGCGUAGGUGGCUUGAUAAGCCGGUUGUGAAAGCCCCGGGCUCAACCUGGGAACGGCAUCCGGAACUGUCAAGCUAGAGUGCAGGAGAGGAAGGUAGAAUUCCCGGUGUAGCGGUGAAAUGCGUAGAGAUCGGGAGGAAUACCAGUGGCGAAGGCGGCCUUCUGGACUGACACUGACACUGAGGUGCGAAAGCGUGGGUAGCAAACAGGAUUAGAUACCCGGGUAGUC
rnacentral:rRNA from 1 species